rnacentral:hammerhead_ribozyme from 1 species
AUCUAACCGACGAGUCCCAAAUAGGACGAAAUUCGCAUCCUGGAU